rnacentral:lncRNA from 1 species
CAAUUUGGAAAAAUAAAUUUGUCGGUUCUUUUACGGUUGCGAAGGAGUUAGUGGCCACAAGAAAAACAGUGUUCGGGGAGAUAACUCUUACAAGGUAAAGUUUUUUGUUACGCGGUGUCAGUUUCAGAAGCGUAUUAACUGUUCGAUAUCAUAUACCAUAUAUCUUAAGCGAACAUCUUGUGAAACAAAAAAACAGCGAAGGAAAAAAAAGUUGGCGGAAGAAAAAAAAAAAAUAAUAAUAAUAAUAAUCAGA